rnacentral:rRNA from 1 species
AGAGUUUGAUCAUGGCUCAGGAUGAACGCUGGCGGCGUGCUUAACACAUGCAAGUCGAACGAGGUCCAACCUUCGGGUGAAGACCGAGUGGCGAACGGGUGAGUAACACGUGGGGAACCUGCCCUUCUCUCUGGGAUAACCUCGGGAAACCGAAGCUAAUACCGGAUACUCCUUGCGGACCGCAUGGUCUGCUCGGGAAAGCUCCGGCGGAGAAGGAUGGCCCCGCGGCCCAUUAGCUUGUUGGUGGGGUAACGGCCCACCAAGGCGACGAUGGGUAGCCGAGCUGAGAGGCUGAUCGGCCACACUGGGACUGAGACACGGCCCAGACUCCUACGGGAGGCAGCAGUGGGGAAUCUUGCGCAGUGGGCGAAAGCCUGACGCAGCAACGCCGCGUGCGGGAUGAAGGCUCUCGGGUCGUAAACCGCUUUCAGCAGGGAUGAAAAUGACAGUACCUGCAGAAGAAGCCCCGGCUAAAUACGUGCCAGCAGCCGCGGUAAUACGUAUGGGGCAAGCGUUAUCCGGAUUCAUUGGGCGUAAAGCGCGCGUAGGCGGCUUGUUAAGUCAGGCGUGAAAUCCGGGGGCUCAACCCGCGGCUUGCGUCUGAAACUGGCAGGCUUGAGUCUGGUAGAGGAAAGUGGAAUUCCUGGUGUAGCGGUGAAAUGCGCAGAUAUCAGGAGGAACACCAGUGGCGAAGGCGGCUUUCUGGGCCACGACUGACGCUGAGGCGCGAAAGCUAGGGGAGCGAGCAGGAUUAGAUACCCUGGUAGUC